GACGAACGCUGGCGGCGUGCUUAACACAUGCAAGUCGAACGGAAAGGCCCUGCUUUUGUGGGGUGCUCGAGUGGCGAACGGGUGAGUAACACGUGAGUAACCUGCCCUUGACUUUGGGAUAACUUCAGGAAACUGGGGCUAAUACCGGAUAGGAGCUCCUGCUGCAUGGUGGGGGUUGGAAAGUUUCGGCGGUUGGGGAUGGACUCGCGGCUUAUCAGCUUGUUGGUGGGGUAGUGGCGUACCAAGGCUUUGACGGGUAGCCGGCCUGAGAGGGUGACCGGCCAAAUGGGAACGGUGAUGGGGCCCGCACCCCGGAGGGGGGCAGAAGGGGGGAAUGUUUGAAAAAGGGGGGACGCUGGAGGGAGGAACGCCGGGGGGGGGAGAACGGCCUUCGGGUUUUAAACCGGUUUGCCUUGGGAGGAGGGGGGGUGACGGUAAAUGGAGAAGAAGCCACGGCUAACUAAGUG
rnacentral:rRNA from 1 species